CGUGUAAGAACGUUGACACUUAAAACUAUCCUUAAUUUGUUUAUAUCUUUUUAAAGCACUUAUAAUGCUUGAGUUAUCAGGUUAGUCACAUAAAACAAUACACACUAGCACUUUCAGGCAUACCUAGACUUGAUUGCCAGUUGCUCUACUCUAGGUGUUCGUUUAAUACUUAUACCUUGUCUUCAAACUUUAACCGUGGAAUUUAUAUGGCUCAUGCUCAAUCUUGAUGACACAAUUAGAGCACAGACUCCAUGCCCAUCAAGUUGCAUUUGUGAUCAGCCAACACACUGGAAAACUGAGAAACUUGUGCUCGAUCGCCUCCAAGAAGUAGAAAUUAGUGAACUAUCAUGAUUUUGUGCAACGGUUAUUCAGUUGGGCAACAGCCUUAAAAAAGUUGACAAUAUCUUUUCAUCACUUGAUCACGAAAUCUAGGCCAAGGGGUUGUGCCAGAUGUUACGAAGCUUGUCCACAUUGGAACUAGGUAUCGAAUUUUAUGUGCACCGCUGCUUGGUGGGGAAAGUUUUG